GGCUUAUGUUGUGUGCUUGUGUCAGUGUGGGCUUGCUUACAGUGCAAGCAGCUACCGACCCACUUUCAGGAAGUCCUGUAGCUGCGGGAGAACUCUACGCAUUGAGAGAAUUAUGAAAAGUGAUAACCAGUCAAUACGGUGCUAGAGGAGGAUGCCACAUGGACAGCUGAUGUCUGUCAGUAGCUAGCUUGGGGACUGAGAAUGAAUUAUUCAGAGAAGAACCAGAGCUCCUGAGUGAUUCUGGAUCACUACAGAUUCAACUCUACAAUGAGCCUCAAAAGAUGAUUUGUCCCAUCUUUCUUCCCCAAGGACAGUUGACUUCUCUAUCAGCAAUUAACAAGCAGAUGAUUGUGGAACAUUUUAUUAAUACUAUUAGUGAUGGAGAUUCCAGAGGCUCUUCAAGCUAUUAUUCCAGUGUUUCACCACCCCAACAACGGAAAGUUUCUCCUUGUGUUUUAUCCAAACCCACUGAUAAACUGAAGAACUGUGAGCCCUUAUACUAUUAGCAUGGGUAACUAUGUUCUUUUUAUUGUUUCCAUUAAUAUGUUGCAUAGAAGAUAGUUCCAAUAGUAGUAAAAAGACUUUGCAGGUUUUUUAUUUUCUCACAUCUUUUUUGUUGGAAGAGCGUCUUUAGUAGAUUUGAGCUUUAUAACUAUUGAUCUAUUAAACUGUUUGCACUGUGUUACUAUGAUAAAAAUUGAAGGAAAUAAUGCACUUUUUUGUCAGGUGGCUACAUAUAGUAGGUUAAGCAAGACUUCUGAGCUCUGGGGACUAAGUGGGUGCUGGUCAUGUACGAGUCUUCUCUUGGCUGUCCUAUGAUUGCUUGGUGACCUGCAAAAAGCACUUAUCUCUAUCUCUUAGACACUUGUACAGCUAAUGUGAUAAUAUCAGGAAACUUCAUUUUUCAGUGCGUUGAGAAGAGAGAUUUUAUUAAUGACACUAUAAUUAUAACUGGGUUUGUUUCUCAAUUUUUUACAUUAUUUAUUAAAAUAAAAUAAGACUAUUUAUUCAAAGCGUUAUUUCUAUUUUGUAACUUACCAUUUUCUGGGUUUUGCCAUUAAGCAUUAAGAAUUUCCAUGCUAAUGGAGUUGCUUAGGUACUUGGAAAGUUUUCCUGGACCAGCUAAUUUCUCGUUGACAAUUUACAUGUGUCUUAUUGGGUUCUUAACUUAUGAGCUGUUAUUAUUGUGAUUAGUUCACUCUAGGCUUUUGGUAAAGUUAAUCAGGGGAAACUAUGUCUGUGGUUACAGAGAAGAGCUUAUAUAUGCCUGAUGGAGUGCCACAGUGGACAACUUGUUUUCCAAAUACGAGAAUAAACAUAGCUCUAAGGAGCUCACAUUCUCAGCUAAUGCAAGAGGUGAUAAACAAGACACCACAAACUUCUGUCGGAUGAGCAAAAGUGAAUCACUUUCAAAGCCUGCAGUUAUAUAAGAGGGGUGGGGGACAGGAAGGGGCCAAUAAAUUGACUCCAAAAAUGCAAAAUUAAUCAUUAUAUUGGAAAACACUAGAAAUUUGAAGAGUGAUCUCCUGUCUGACGUGAAGCUGCAGAAGCUGCUUGUUCUUGAAACAAUUAAGUAGUGCCCCGGAAUGUGUGGGAAAAGAAUUACCAAGGUUGACCAAAAUGUCUGAUUUAUAUUUCCCCAAAAUUUGUUAUUAUGUCCUUAAAACUGUGGUCCAUGGGAGAUGAUUUGAUAACAGUGUUCUAACGCUCUGCAAGAGAUUUGGAAACUGGAGGAUGAUUAUCUGUAACCAGCAGACAGUGGAGCGCCUCCAGAUUGACAGCAAUGCAGUUAACAAUCAGAAUGUAGUCCAGUAUAUAUGUGUGAGCAAUGUCUUUUCAAAAAAAUGUAACACAGUAAUGGUUUGUAAGAAAGGUAAUACUUUUUCCUUGAUGCUUGAAAAAUAAUAACAAAAAAGGAUGGUUUGAAAGACAUAAGCAAAAUAAGUACAUUCAAAACACCAAUAUAGCUAAUUUAAGAAUACGUAUUGUCUUCUUCUUACAUCUCUGGGAGAAACCAGAAAUAAUUAAUUCAAGUGAAGUAUGGCGCUCUCAUAAAUUUCCAACAAUUCACAACAGUAACAUUCAUUUUCUAUUGAUGACAGCUAACAAAGAUCUUGGCAGUGAGGUUUUUCAUGUGGAAUGAGGGCUAGGAGUAUCUGAUAAGGUUGAAAAAUGUGUUUUAAGAAAAUAGGUUUCAGUUAACUUAGUAAAUCCCUCCCCGGCAAGACCCCUAAACUGUCCCCAAGGACCACUGAGACCCUCAAAUUCCCCUGAAUGGCCCAUGGGACCCCCUUGAGACACCCAGAUGACAUAUAUUGACCCCCAAUUCCCCCCAGGAUCCCCAGAUGCCCCACAGGGACCCCAAAUACCCUGGGACCCUCAAAUUACCCUGGGAAACCAAAUCCCCCCCAGAUGCCCCAUAAGGACCCCAAAUCCCUGACUGCUAAAUGUUUUUUUCACCAGUUUUACACUACCAGUUAGGUGGAGACAGACCCAAGUCAAUGAGACUUCACAUGCCGAAGAGAUCUUUGGCCACAAUCCUUUCGAAAAGACCAGUCAAAAUAAUAGUAGCCAUGCUGUAUGUAUUUUUGUCUUUCCUGAGCUUUCUUUAGCACAUCACAUGGCAUACCUGACAUUGAUGUAAAGAAGUGGUUGGAUUACAGAUCUCCUGAGGUCCCUUCUAACCUGAAUGAUAUACAAACUAAUAAGCCCAAAAAUGUUGAAGACUUGUUCUUUUCAUAUAUGCUACUUCACACCAAACAGAAAUGUAGUCUUAGAUUUUACAAUAAAGUUCACAUCACUAAUAGUUAAUAUUUAGCAGCUGUUUAUUUUUUAAUCAAUUGCAAAUAACUGUAAUCAUGUACAAAAUGUUCUGGAUUAUGACCAAGACCAGCUGGACAAGAUAUUGUUUGCAUAUAAUACCAGUAUAUGUUCAAAUAAUAUGUUUAGAAUACCAUCUACUUUUGUCAUUACUUCUUUUAAUUAAUAUAUCUCUCUAUAAGGAAAUUACAAAUAAAGUAUGAACGUUUGAGUUUC